rnacentral:snRNA from 1 species
AUCGCUUCUCGGCCUUUUGGCUAAGAUCAAGUGUAGUAUCUGUUCUUAUCAGUUUAAUAUCUGAUACGUCCUCGAUGAGAGGACUUUAUAUUAAACGUAUUUUUGUCGGCUGGAGUCGGCGCCGGAGCUC